GCGGCGUGCCUAUACAUGCAGUCGAACGAACUCUGGUAUUGAUUGGUGCUUGCAUCAUGAUUUACAUUUGAGUGAGUGGCGAACUGGUGAGUAACACGUGGGAAACCUGCCCAGAAGCGGGGGAUAACACCUGGAAACAGAUGCUAAUACCGCAUAACAACUUGGACCGCAUGGUCCGAGCUUGAAAGAUGGCUUCGGCUAUCACUUUUGGAUGGUCCCGCGGCGUAUUAGCUAGAUGGUGGGGUAACGGCUCACCAUGGCAAUGAUACGUAGCCGACCUGAGAGGGUAAUCGGCCACAUUGGGACUGAGACACGGCCCAAACUCCUACGGGAGGCAGCAGUAGGGAAUCUUCCACAAUGGACGAAAGUCUGAUGGAGCAACGCCGCGUGAGUGAAGAAGGGUUUCGGCUCGUAAAACUCUGUUGUUAAAGAAGAACAUAUCUGAGAGUAACUGUUCAGGUAUUGACGGUAUUUAACCAGAAAGCCACGGCUAACUACGUGCCAGCAGCCGCGGUAAUACGUAGGUGGCAAGCGUUGUCCGGAUUUAUUGGGCGUAAAGCGAGCGCAGGCGGUUUUUUAAGUCUGAUGUGAAAGCCUUCGGCUCAACCGAAGAAGUGCAUCGGAAACUGGGAAACUUGAGUGCAGAAGAGGACAGUGGAACUCCAUGUGUAGCGGUGAAAUGCGUAGAUAUAUGGAAGAACACCAGUGGCGAAGGCGGCUGUCUGGUCUGUAACUGACGCUGAGGCUCGAAAGUAUGGGUAGCAAACAGGAUUAGAUACCCUGGUAGUCCAUACCGUAAACGAUGAAUGCUAAGUGUUGGAGGGUUUCCGCCCUUCAGUGCUGCAGCUAACGCAUUAAGCAUUCCGCCUGGGGAGUACGGCCGCAAGGCUGAAACUCAAAGGAAUUGACGGGGGCCCGCACAAGCGGUGGAGCAUGUGGUUUAAUUCGAAGCUACGCGAAGAACCUUACCAGGUCUUGACAUACUAUGCAAAUCUAAGAGAUUAGACGUUCCCUUCGGGGACAUGGAUACAGGUGGUGCAUGGUUGUCGUCAGCUCGUGUCCUGAGAUGUUGGGGUUAAGUCCCGCAACGAGCGCAACCCUUAUUAUCAGUUGCCACCAUUAAGUUGGGGCCUCUGGUGAGACUGCCGGUGACAACCCGAGGAAAGGGGGGGGAGGAACGCCAAAACAUCUUGCCCCUCUAUAACCGGGGGUACACACUGGCUUCAAUGG
rnacentral:rRNA from 2 species